rnacentral:rRNA from 1 species
UACGUAGGUGGCAAGCGUUGUCCGGAUUUACUGGGCGUAAAGAGCGCGCAGGCGGUCGUUCAAGUCGCGUGUGAAAGCCCCCGGCUCAACUGGGGAGGGUCACGCGAUACUGAUCGACUGGAAGGCAGGAGAGGGUAGUGGAAUUCCCGGUGUAGUGGUGAAAUGCGUAGGAUAAUCAGGAGGAACACCGGUGGCGAAGGCGGGUCUCUGGGCCGAUACUGACGCUGAGGAGCGAAAGCGUGGGGAGCGAACAGG